GUCUGUGCUGAGUUUUUCAAAGUUCAUAGCAGGUUGAACAUGCUUGCUGUCAUUUUCACAGAUUCUGGUCUUUCUUAUGGGGAACCUGAGUUCCUGCAUUAAAGUUCCCCCAGAAGAUCAAUGGAAGGUGGAUUCCAAAGAGUGGGCAAGUGAGGACCCCUUCUCUGUUACCAAGGUGACCCCAAGGAACACAGUAAAUGUGGCGGCUUAUUUGGCCUCCCCAGGACGGACUGGAGCAUCAGUAGUGCCUGAGUUCAUCAAAGGACAGAUGCUCAAGACACCUUGAUCACCAUUAGGUGGAAUUGAAGGAGCCAAAAAUGGGCGCAGUGGCUCCUCAGCAGAGACGCUCCUGAAUGUAUAGACAUGGGAACCACUUUCAGCAUCAAAAAAGGAAACGUUCUGCAUGCCCAUAUCCAGAAAAAUCCCCACUCGCUGUAACUUGCGGUCUACUAAGAGGAAAGUCAGCGGCACCGUGCUGGCAGAGAGGCGGCUUCCAUCCCUCAAACUCACAGUCCAGAAUCCAAGCUCUGUGGUCAGCUGGAUCUUCCCUUUGCAGUGAACAGAUUCUCUGCAGACUCCCAGGUCCCAUUCUGUGCUUGUUCCCACGUCCACCUCCCAGUAGUGGCGGCCACAGGUAAAGCGAGGGGAGCCCAGGAUGCAAACGGACACGUCAAAUCUCUCGGCAAGGUCUUGCCGAUUCUGUGUGAUGAGCCCACUUCGGACGCUCCUGAGGUCGUCAGAAAUGAGGAGGAAGUUGUUGGCUGUGUCGGCAUCCAAGGUCAUAUCCACUGUGAAAAGGAAAACAAGUUGCUCAGCAAGUGGACAGAAGCCAACCCCAUGCCUCUCUUCUACUUCAAAGGCCCAAAUAUCUCCUGACUUUAGUUUCUUUAAUUCUGUUUCUUCCUCCAAAAUCAAAACUUUUCAUGAGGAAACUUCCCUAUUUCAAAUUUUCAUAGGUAUGCUUUGUGGCAAUACGUGACUCUUAUUCACAGUAGCAAUUCUUAUUUUACUUUACGUCACGUGUUUGCUUCACUGAACUUUUCUUCAUUUAGAGUGGAGGGUCUCUGAAGGCAGACACCAUGCCCCCCUUUCUACCACCUUGAUGUGUGAACAAAUAAAUGAUAAUUAAGACAAUGCAAGUGGUCAAUAUUA
rnacentral:lncRNA from 1 species